rnacentral:misc_RNA from 1 species
GAUGAAGAACGUAGCGAAAUGCGAUACUUGGUGUGAAUUGCAGAAUCCCGCGGAUCAUCGAGUUUUUGAACGCAAGUUGCGCCCGAAGCCAUUCGGCCGAGGGCACGUCUGCCUGGGUGUCACGCAUCGUUGCCCCCCCAAACUCCGGUUCGGGCGGGGCGGAAGUUGGCCUCCCGUGCGUGCCUGCGCGCGCGGUUAGCCCAAAAGCGAGUCCUCGGCGACGAGCGCCACGACAAUCGGUGGUUUUUUUACCCUCGUUCCUCGUCGUGCGUGUCCCGUCGCCCGAACGCGCUCUUGUGACCCUCACGCGUCGCCUCGGCGGCGCUCCCAACGCGACCCCAGGUCAGGCGGGACUACCCGCUGAGUUUAAGCAUAUCAAUAAGCGGAGGA